CAAGCUUGUUUUGAUGGAUGGCGACCGGCGCACGGGUGAGUAACACGUAUCCCACCUGCCGACAACACUGGGAUAGCCUUUCCAAAGAAAGAUUAAUACCGGCAUGGCAUACUUUUCCCGCAUGGGAUAAUUAUAUAAAGAAUUUCGGUUGUCGAUGGGGAUGCGUUCCAUUAGGCAGUUGGCGGGGUAACGGCCCACCAAACCGACGAUGGAUAGGGGUUCUGAGAGGAAGGUCCCCCACAUUGGAACUGAGACACGGUCCAAACUCCUACGGGAGGCAGCAGUGAGGAAUAUUGGUCAAUGGACGAGAGUCUGAACCAGCCAAGUAGCGUGAAGGAUGACUGCCCUAUGGGUUGUAAACUUCUUUUAUACGGGAAUAAAGUGAGCCACGUGUGGCUUUUUGUAUGUACCGUAUGAAUAAGGAUCGGCUAACUCCGUGCCAGCAGCCGCGGUAAUACGGAGGAUCCGAGCGUUAUCCGGAUUUAAUGGGUUUAAAGGGAGCGUAGGCGGGUUGUUAAGUCAGUUGUGAAAGUUUGCGGCUCAACCGUAAAAUUGCAGUUGAUACUGGUGACCUUGAGUGCAACAGAGGUAGGCGGAAUUCGUGGUGUAGCGGUGAAAUGCUUAGAUAUCACGAAGAACUCCGAUUGCGAAGGCAGCUUACUGGAUUGUAACUGACGCUGAUGCUCGAAAGUGUGGGUAUCAAACAGGAUUAGAUACCCUGGUAGUCCACACAGUAAACGAGGAAUACUCGCUGUGGGCGAUAUACUGUCAGCGGCCAAGCGAAAGCAUUAAGUAUUCCACCUGGGGAGUACGCCGGCAACGGUGAAACUCAAAGGAAUAGACGGGGGCCCGCACAAGCGGAGGAACAUGUGGUUUAAUUCGAUGAUACGCGAGGAACCUUACCCGGGCUUAAAUUGCAACUGACGGAACCGGAAACGGUUCUUUUUUCGGACAGUUGUGAAGGUGCUGCAUGGUUGUCGUCAGCUCGUGCCGUGAGGUGUCGGCUUAAGUGCCAUAACGAGCGCAACCCUUAUCGAUAGUUACUAGCAGGUCAUGCUGAGGACUCUAUUGAGACAGCCGUCGUAAGAUGUGAGGAAGGUGGGGAU
rnacentral:rRNA from 1 species